rnacentral:rRNA from 1 species
GAACGCGAAGAACCUUACCAGGUCUUGACAUCCCGAUGCUAUUUCUAGAGAUAGAAAGUUACUUCGGUACAUCGGUGACAGGUGGUGCAUGGUUGUCGUCAGCUCGUGUCGUGAGAUGUUGGGUUAAGUCCCGCAACGAGCGCAACCCCUAUUGUUAGUUGCCAUCAUUCAGUUGGGCACUCUAGCGAGACUGCCGGUAAUAAACCGGAGGAAGGUGGGGAUGACGUCAAAUCAUCAUGCCCCUUAUGACCUGGGCUACACACGUGCUACAAUGGUUGGUACAACGAGUUGCGAGUCGGUGACGGCAAGCUAAUCUCUUAAAGCCAAUCUCAGUUCGGAUUGUAGGCUGCAACUCGCNUACAUGAAGUCGGAAUCGCUAGUAAUCGCGGAUCAGCACGCCCCGGUGAAUACGUUCCCGGGUCUUGUACACACC